UGACGGCCACAUCACGUUGAAACAUUGGUUCCCGUACCAUCACUGAAGGUAAGCAAAGUCGAGCCUUUUCAGUACCUAGAGGAGUGAUCACUUGGGAAUACCAGGUGCUGUAAG